rnacentral:rRNA from 1 species
ACGAACGCUGGCGGCGUGCUUAACACAUGCAAGACGAACGGAAAGGCCCUGCUUUUGUGGGGUGCUCGAGUGGCGAACGGGUGAGUAACACGUGAGUAACCUGCCCUUGACUUUGGGGUAACUUCAGGAAACUGGGGCUAAUACCGGAUAGGAGCUCCUGCUGCAUGGUGGGGGUUGGAAAGUUUCGGCGGUUGGGGAUGGACUCGCGGCUUAUCAGCUUGUUGGUGGGGUAGUGGCUUACCAAGGCUUUGACGGGUAGCCGGCCUGAGAGGGUGACCGGCCACAUUGGGACUGAGAUACGGCCCAGACUCCUACGGGAGGCAGCAGUGGGGAAUAUUGCACAAUGGGCGGAAGCCUGAUGCAGCAACGCCGCGUGCGGGAUGACGGCCUUCGGGUUGUAAACCGCUUUCGCCUGUGACGAAGCGUGAGUGACGGUAAUGGGUAAAGAAGCACCGGCUAACUACGUG